rnacentral:misc_RNA from 1 species
GUGAGUCAUCGAAUCUUUGAACGCACAUUGCGCCCGCCGGCAUCCCGGCGGGCAUGCCUGUUCGAGCGUCAUUUCAACCCUCAGGCCCCUCCUGGCCUGGUGUUGGAGCCCUGCGGCGCAGGCUCCCAAAGACAGCGGCGGGCGUGCCCCGGUACCGAGCAUAGUAGCUUCACUUGCUUGGGUUCCAGGGCGCGUCCCAGCCGUAAAACCCCUAACUUUCUCAUGGUUGACCUCGGAUCAGGUAGGAAUACCCGCUGAACUUAAGCAUAUCAAUAAGCGGAGGA